GCGGGAAACUGGGACACACAUGAUAAAGAUGCACCAUUUACAAACUUAAAGUGUCAAACAGUAGGGAUAGGAAGCCAAGAACUACGAGACAUCUGAGGAAACCUGACUGUUGCAAAAGGAACACAGAUGAGCACUUUGGAAGCUAAGCCCAGAGGAAAGGAUCUAUGCUGCUGGAGCAAGUACUCACAAAAUUCUAGAGGGAAGAUACUGCGCACAUGGAACAGUGAUCCUGAGGACUCCUCGCUGCAUCUGUAACCUUGAGUAAACUACCAAAGGUUCAAAGGCUGUGGCAAUUAAGAAAUUGCCUGGCCUGUCAGGAUGGCUCAGCAGGGAAAAGUGCUUAUCUCUGAGAAUGAAUGGUGCCUUGAGUUCUGCUCCAGAGCCCAAAACGAAGGAGAAAUCAGUUUCCAGAAGUUGUUCCUGACCGCCACAUAAAUGCGCCUCACCCUCACACAUCAUA